rnacentral:rRNA from 1 species
UACGAGUGCCCUAAGCGUUAUCCGGAAUCAUUGGGCGUAAAGGGUGUGUAGGUGGUUGUGUUAGUCUUGUGUUAAAUUCUUCGGCUUAACCGGGGGCAUGCAUGGGAAACGGCACAACUAGAGGAUGCGAGAGGUGAACGGAACUCAUGGAGUAGGGGUGAAAUCCGUUGAUAUCAUGGGGAACACCAAAUGCGAAGGCAGUUCACUGGCGCACUCCUGACACUGAGACACGAAAGCGUAGGUAGCGAAUGGG